GAAGUGCACAGUGUGUGUGCUUUGGAUACACACAGCACAGGAAAUACUCUGACACUACAAAGGUGCCCGACAUGUAUCACACAGACCCACAAGAAUAUGCAACGGGACUCUUUUCACUUCCACUGUAGUCAACUCUCAUUCCAAUACAAACAUUUUCAUAUGGUACAAAUGAGACGGAAAACGAGCUGGUGAAAGAAGUCUGGGAGUGUCAACACCUUGCUCGCCGAGUUACUGCAGCCAACCACAGAGGACCUGUUGGGAGUGAUGGGACCAGCAGCGGCUUGAUGAAGGUG
rnacentral:lncRNA from 12 species